rnacentral:rRNA from 1 species
AGUCGAACGCGAAAGGUACCUUCGGGUGAACGAGUAGAGUGGCGAACUGGUGAGUAACAGGUGGGUAAUGUGCCUCUUAGUGUGGGAUAACCUCUGGAAACAGUGGCUAAUACCUCAUGUGGCACGGAUAACGUUGGUUAACCCGUGUUAAAGACUUCGGUCGCUAAGAGAGCAGCCCGACCCCGAUUAGCUUGUUGGUAGGGUAACGGCCUACCAAGGCUCCGAUCGGUAGGUGGCCUGAGAGGGUGGUCACUCACACUGGGACUGAGAUACGGCCCAGACUCCUACGGGGGGCAGCAGUCUAGAAGCUUCCACAAUGGACGAAAGUCUGAUGGAGCGACGCCGCGUGUGGGAUGACAGCCGUGAGGUAGUAAACCACUGUCAGCAGGGAAGAAUGCCUUGAUGGUGAAUCAGGGAGAGACGGUACCUGCAGAGGAAGCACCGGCUAACUCCGUGCCAGCAGCCGCGGUAAUACGGAAGGGGCAAACGUUGUUCGGAUUUACUGGAGCGUAAAGGGUGUCUAGGCAGUUCGAUUAAGUCUAGGUGUGAAAUAUCCUCGCUCAAAGAGGAAGACGCAUUGGAAACUGUCGAGCUCGAGAGUGGAAAAGGCAAAGUGGAAAUUCCUGGUGUAACGGUGGAAAUGCGUAGAUAUCAGGAAGAACACUCGUGGCGAAGGCGGCCUGCUGGUCCAUUUCUGACGCUGAAGCACGAAAGCCAGGGGAGCGAACGGGAUUAGAUACCCCGGUAGUCCUGCCCGUAAACGUUGAACACUGGAUGUCGGGGGUAUCGACCCCCACGGUGUCGGAGCUAACGCGUUAAGUGUUCCGCCUGGGGAGUACGACCGCAAGGUUGAAACUCAAAGGAAUUGACGGGGGCCCGCACAAGCGGUGGAGGAUGUGGUUUAAUUCGACGCAACGCGAAGAACCUUACCUGGGCUUAAACCGCAGGGUAAACCCUCUGAAAGGAGGGCUGCUUCGGCAAUCCUGUAGAGGUGCUGCAUGGCUGUCGUCAGCUCGUGUCGUGAGAUGUUGGGUUAAGUCCCGCAACGAGCGCAACCCUUGCUCUUAGUUACCAGCGCGUAAUGGCGGGGACUCUAAGAGGACUGCCCUCGCAAGGGGGAGGAAGGUGGGGAUGACGUCAAGUCCUCAUGGCCCUUAUGUCCAGGGCUACACACGUCCUACAAUGGCCGGUACAAAGGGCUGCAAGCUCGCGAGAGUUAGCUAAUCCCAAAAAGCCGGUCCCAGUUCGGAUUGCAGUCUGCAACUCGACUGCAUGAAGGUGGAAUCGCUAGUAAUCGUGGAUCAGCAUGCCACGGUGCAUACGUUCCCGGGCCUUGUACACACCGCCCGUCACAUCACGAAAGUCGGUGGUACCGGAAGUCGCUGAGCCAACCCGCAAGGGAGGCAGGCGCCGAUGGUA